AGCAGAUGUUAUUGGUCACAUACACAUGGUUAGCAGAUGUUAUUGCAAGUGUAGCGAAACGCUUGUGCUUCUAGUUAAUGCUCAUGGAGUUCUGGUCAUAUAAUCUAAUCAUGUAUUCUGAUCAUGUAUUCUGAUUUGUAUUCUGAUCAUGUAUUCUAAUCAUGUAUUCUGAUUAUGUAUUCUGAUCAUGUAUUCUGAUUAUGUAUUCUGAUCCUGUAUACUAUAUGUGUAAUUCACUUUGUGUAAUGGUCUUUGUGUAAUGGUCUUUGUGUAAUGGUCUUUGUGUAAUGGUCUUUGUGUAAUUGUGUAAUGGUCUUUGUGUAAUGGUCUUUGUCUAAUUGUGUAAUGGUCUUUGUGUAAUGGUCUUUGUGUAAUGGUCUUUGUGUAAUGGUCUUUGUGUAAUGGUCUUUGUCUAAUUGUGUAAUGGUCUUUGUGUAAUGGUCUUUGUGUAAUGGUCUUUGUGUAAUGGUCUUUGUGUAAUGGUCUUUGUGUAAUGGUCUUUGUGUAAUGGUCUUUGUCUAAUGGUCUUUGUCUAAUGGUCUUUGUCUAAUGGUCUUUGUGUAAUGGUCUUUGUCUAAUGGUCUUUGUGUAAUGGUCUUUGUGUAAUGGUCUUUGUGUAAUGGUCUUUGUCUAAUGGUCUUUGUCUAAUGGUCUUUGUCUAAUGGUCUUUGUGUAAUGGUCUUUGUGUAAUGGUCUUUGUGUAAUGGUCUUUGUGUAAUGGUCUUUGUCUAAUGGUCUUUGUGUAAUGGUCUUUGUCUAAUGGUCUUUGUCUAAUGGGCUUUGUGUAAUGGUCUUUGUCUAAUAGUCUUUGUGUAAUGGUCUUUGUCUAAUGGUCUUUGUGUAAUGGUCUUUGUCUAAUGGUCUUUGUGUAAUGGUCUUUGUGUAAUUGUGUAAUGGUCUUUGUGUAAUUGUGUAAUGGUCUUUGUCUAAUGGUCUUUGUGUAAUGGUCUUUGUGUAAUGGUCUUUGUGUAAUUGUGUAAUGGUCUUUGUGUAAUUGUGUAAUGGUCUUUGUCUAAUGGUCUUUGUCUAAUGGUCUUUGUGUAAUGGCUGCUGGGCUUGUAGUGCAGGGUUCCUCUGUAAAAGACACCUCAGUAACAAUAGGAAUCACUGCUAAAAUAAAGAUUGAAUACAAUACAAAUAUGACCAGACAUGAUAAAAAAAACAUUUAUUGAACAUUUAUUUGCAAUACAUGUUGGUUAGGUCUUAUGUUGGGUAGGUCUUAUGUUGGGUAGGUAGGUCUUAUGUUGGGUAGGUAGGUCUUAUGUUGGGUAGGUCUUAUGUUGGGUAGGUCUUAUGUUGGGUAGGUCUUAUGUUGGGUAGGUCUAUGUUGGGUAGGUCUUAUGUUGGGUAGGUAGGUCUUAUGUUGGGUAGGUCUAUGUUGGGUAGGUCUUAUGUUGGGUAGGUCUAUGUUGGGUAGGUCUUAUGUUGGGUAGGUAGGUCUUAUGUUGGGUAGGUCUUAUGUUGGGUAGGUAUUUUGUUGGGUAGGUAGGUCUUAUGUUGGGUAGGUCUUAUGUUGGGUAGGUAUUUUGUUGGGUAGGUCUUUUGUUGGGUAGGUCUUUUGUUGGGUAGGUAGGUAUUAUGUUGUGUAGGUCUUAUGUUGGGUAGGUCUUAUGUUGGGUGGGUCUUUUGUUGGGUGGGUCUUUUGUUGGGUGGGUCUUUUGUUGGGUGGGUCUUUUGUUGGGUGGGUCUUUUGUUGGGUGGGUCUUUUGUUGGGUGGGUCUUUUGUUGGGUGGGUCUUUUGUUGGGUGGGUCUUUUGUUGGGUGGGUCUUUUGUUGGGUGGGUCUUUUGUUGGGUGGGUCUUUUGUUGGGUGGGUCUUAUGUUGGGUGGGUCUUAUGUUGGGUGGGUCUUAUGUUGGGUGGGUCUUAUGUUGGGUAGGUCUUAUGUUGUGUAGGUCUUAUGUUGUGUAGGUCUAUGUUGGGUAGGUCUUAUGUUGGGUAGGUAGGUCUUAUGUUGGGUAGGUCUUAUGUUGGGUAGGUAGGUCUUAUGUUGGGUAGGUCUUAUGUUGGGUAGGUCUUAUGUUGGGUAGGUCUUAUGUUGGGUAGGUCUUAUGUUGUGUAGGUCUUAUGUUGUGUAGGUCUAUGUUGGGUAGGUCUUAUGUUGGGUAGGUCUUAUGUUGGGUAGGUAGGUCUUAUGUUGGGUAGGUCUUAUGUUGGGUAGGUCUAUGUUGGGUAGGUAGGUCUUAUGUUGGGUAGGUCUUAUGUUGGGUAGGUCUUAUGUUGGGUAGGUCUUAUGUUGGGUAGGUCUUAUUGUACAACUGAACAUCAACAGUCUCAAUAACAAACCCCAACAAAUGAAUCAGAAAACAGUCAUCGAAACAGGAAAAACUAAAAACUAAGUAAAACUAAAGAAACCUGGUUGGUUGUCAAGUUUCGAUAACUACAGCAUCUUUAAAGGAUAAAAAGUAUUGCUUAAUUUCUAUUGGCCGAGAUGCACAAUACAGAAUGCCAGCACCAUAAAAAAACGUGCAAAAUGUCUUCACCCUAUUAAACCAUGUGAUUAACAAAAAACAAACGUUUAUUCUUUUCCACCAUACAAUUAUUAUUUCCAAUGUUCUACCUCAUCCACACCAAAGCAAAAGUUGAUAAAAGUUGAUAAAAGUUCCUUUCUUGGCAGACAGUACAGACAUUACGUGUAGGAUAACUCUUAGGAUCUCUUUGCAUUGUUAAAACAUCAUGUCCGACACCAUUGGCCCAGUUGAUUCACUCUAGGUUGAUUUCAUUGUUCACCGCUGCCCAGUGAGCAAAAUUGGUUGAAACUAUGUAUUUUCAACUUCUUUUCAACCCCAAAAAGAUGUACAGCAUUUCCAACGUCUUUUCAACCCC